UUUCUUUUGAGAGUGUAUACUAAAGCACCAAACUUGACAGCUUUUGUUAAACUGAAACAUAAACAAAACUAUUUAAAGCAUUUUACAUAUAUGUAAGAAGUGUACCUUCGUUGCGGUAGGAUUUGGUUGACCAAAGACCACUGCCCUGUGUAAUAAUGAGAUUCAAGAAUGAACGAAUAGCAGUUGCUGUUCGACGCCGGUAUCCAAAACGAUGUCAACAUCGUACGAUGGGUUCCAGACGAGGACGACAUUCUGACUCAGGGAACGAACUAUGGCGUCGUUAACCAGUUUCUUCCAGCUGCAGAUUUCAUUGGUAGAGCCCAACUGUAAUCAUCAAGAAGUUUUCGACAAAUAAACUUCCAUUCAAAUGUUUCAAUCGAAACGGACAGUACCCAACAUGAUUUUUGACAAGACAUCGUCGAUUAUGAAGAUUAAGUUGUGUCCGAGAGCUUCGGUGUUUUUUCUUAGAUCAUUCGAAAUAGAUUUUCAUUUAAUUCUAAUUAGGUUUUGAUUUAAUUUAUUUUAAAAAUUGAUAUAUAAUUACGUUUUAUAAUCUAGUAAACGGAAUUCAAAAUAAUAAUAUUUUUAAAUUCAAAAAAAUAUUCAUCAAAUAUUGAAUUAAUUUCUCUUAUUAAUUACUUUAUUAUUGAAAAUUAGGUACCAAACUAGAAUGUGACACUAUAAUUGUAAUUUUUGAUAA